rnacentral:rRNA from 1 species
GCAUAUGGACAUAGGGAGUGGAAAACAGCGCAUCCCUUCUGCUCAGCCGUAUUCAGGCCACCUGUUGGCCUGUUAGUAGCUGGGUGGGUGGCCACCAGCGAGUCAAAGCUUUCGUAUGUU